UACAGAGACCUCAAGCGUUAUCCGGAAUCAUUGGGCGUAAAGCGUACCGAUAGGUGGUUUUGGUAGUUUUGGGUAAAAGCCAGAAGCUCAACUUCUGCGUUUGCUCAAAAUACUCCAAGACUAGAGGGGCAAAGAGGUGCUUGGAACGAAUGGUGUAGUAGUGAAAUGCGUUGAUAUCAUUCGGAACACCGAAAGCGAAGGCAGAGCACUGGGUGCCACCUGACACUGCUAGGACGAAAGCGUGGGGAGCGAAUGGG
rnacentral:rRNA from 1 species